UUAGCUCAUAUUUGUAUGGAAUGGGAUCGUUUGCCUACGUUUGCCGCUAGGGGCGCUGUUCCAACUGCAUACAAAAUUGGCUU
rnacentral:pre_miRNA from 1 species